UCCUGUGUCGCGUGCCUAACGUUGAUGGAAGUUGACCCCGGAUGAGUCCCUAAUUUUCGCUUCUCACCAAUUCGUGGUGUUAGGUUGACGUGAAAGUACUGCCCAUUCACCUUGAUUGCUUCGCCCUUUUGCGUUGCAAUCAAGGCCCAUGGGUUGCUACUAGGUCCCUCGGAUGCAGAACCCUCUUGAAGGGUGCACAGUAUGCUGCUGUUGUUUACCCACAAAGCGUUCAUCGAUUGAUGCGUAGGACGGCUGUGCCCGUCUUGGUCCCCUCUCUAACUAGUUUAGACGGGGCUCAUGCGGUGUCGGCGUCGCGAAGGAAUGCUACCUGGUUGAUCCUGCCAGUAGUCAUAUGCUUGUCUC
rnacentral:misc_RNA from 1 species